GGGGGUCCAAUCAUAAACAGUAAAUAAACCGAAAUCUGCAGAUUCUUCUGGAGGAUCCAGAAUCCAGCGGGACGGGUUUGAACCCAAACCUCACACAGAAACUUCUCCCUUUUGGUUCCGUCCGCCUGAUUCCCACUACAGAACCGAUCUGGAUCAGAACCUGAACGUUUCUAAACAACCCAGCUGAUCAGCUGGAGGUUUCCGGGGGUCCGUGAAGGCAGCACCAGCAUAGCUACAAAGCCCGAUCCAGAAAUACCGUCCAAUCAGAGACGAGAAAAAGAUCGAGGCCAACAAUCCAAACGGAGAGGGGGCGGGGCCAGGGAAUCUUCAGCCAAUCAGGAAGAGGCUGCGCGCCCACGAGGCCGAUUGUUGUCCACAGACGCGCGCUCCGGACUGUGACGUAGCAGCAAGAUGCGCACGCGCGGCCGCAUCAUGAGCACGUGGUCGAUGGAGAAGCAAACCUGAUGACCAUCAUCUCUGCAUGUCGGUGACCUCUGGGGUGUCCAGGUCACAUGGUCUUGUCCUGUGGAGUCCAUCACGGCGUCCGUCACUGCAGUCAGAGCGGUGGAGUCGAGCGGUUGCACCCUCACAUCUGGUAAACAGCUGAGCGGCGUUUGCCAGAACCACGUCUGAGGUUCUGGUUCACGGAGGGUCCUUCCAGAUCGUCUUCAGGGCUCCUCCUGUUGUAGAUGACACGUCCUGACUAAAAUAAUCUCGUGGGAUUAACUUUCAGGAUUUCUGUUACAAAAUAAAAAGAAUCAAACCUUCA